ACAUUGCAUCACAAGGUAAGGAUUUGUCUGCUUAAUCUUGAAUUGCAACAGUACAAUAACACAGUUAAUGGUAUUUAUCAUAUGAUUAAAUGAAAACGAAAACCAGAAAACAUAAUAAUAUUUCAGGGCCAACAAAGGAGACACUACAAGAUUUCUGGAAGAUGGUAUAGCAGGUUGAUAGCUGCAAAAUUGUUAUGCUUACUAAUGUUAUAGAAGAAGGAAAGAAUAAAUGUACACAGUACUGGCCAGAACAUGGAAACGAAAUGUUUGGAAAUAUAGACAUUCGCGUAAAGAAGAUUGAGCAGUUUUCACAAUUUACAAUACGGACGUUCACGUUAAAAAAGGCCAACUUGGCAGAGAAGAUGGUAACCCAGUUUCAUUUCACUGCAUGGCC